rnacentral:rRNA from 1 species
UACGUAGGUGGCAAGCGUUGUCCGGAUUUACUGGGCGUAAAGAGCGCGCAGGCGGUCGUGCAAGUCGCGUGUGAAAGCCCCCGGCUCAACUGGGGAGGGUCACGCGAUACUGCUCGACUCGAAGGCAGGAGAGGGAAGUGGAAUUCCCGGUGUAGUGGUGAAAUUCGUAGAUAUCGAGAGGAACACCGGUGGCGAAGGCGGCCAACUGGACG